rnacentral:tRNA from 2 species
GCGGGAAUAGCUCAGUAGGUAGAGCACGACCUUGCCAAGGUCGGGGUCGCGAGUUCGAGUCUCGUUUCCCGCUCCA